AACUUUUAGCAACGGAUCACGUGACGCUAAAACUUUUAGCAAUGGAUCACUUGGUUCCCGCAUCGAUGAAGAACGCAGCGAAACGCGAUAGUUAAUGUGAAUUGCAGAAUUCAGUGAAUCAUCGAGUCUUUGAACGCACAUUGCGCCUUUUGGUAUUCCGAGAGGCACGCCUGUCUGAGCGUCAGUAAUACCUUCGGUUUGACGAUUUAUUGUCUCGCCGGCGUUGGCGGUUUAAGGGGUUAACCCCCCUAAUUCCAUUUAAACACUGACAGCGGGGUAAGUUUAAGUAACACCUAUCGACUAGUAGAAAUAUUUAUCGUUCAUGGAAGACCUAAAACUCCCGCAAUACAAAAUAUGGGGAAACCCAAACCAAUUUUGACCUCAGAUCAGACGAGGAUACCCGCUGAACUUAAGCAUAUCAAUAAGCGGAGGCU
rnacentral:misc_RNA from 1 species